rnacentral:rRNA from 1 species
GAUGAACGCUAGCGGCAGGCUUAAUACAUGCAAGUUGAGGGGCAGCAUGAUAUACGCGAGUAUAUUGAUGGCGACCGGCGGACGGGUGAGUAAUAGGUAGGAGACCUACCUCAUACAGGGGGAUAGCAUAGAGAAAUCUGUGGUAAUACCCCAUGAGGUUAUAUGAAUAGAGGCAUAUAAUCAAAGCAUAAGCGAUUAUGCGGUAUGAGAGGGGCCUACUGACCAUUAGCUAGUUGGUGAGGUAAGGGCUCACCAAGGCGAAGAUGGUUAGGGGUUUUGAGAGAGAGACCCCCCACAUUGGAACUGAGAGACGGUCCAGACUCCUACGGGAGGCAGCAGUAGGGAAUAUUGGGCAAUGGGCGAAAGCCUGACCCAGCCAUGCCGCGUGAAGGAAGACGGCCUUAUGGGUUGUAAACUUCUUUACUACGCGAAUAGAGGUUAGUACGAGAUACUAAUAGGAAGGUAGUGUAAGUAAAAAGCACCGGCUAACUCCGUG